rnacentral:tRNA from 1 species
UGCCCGAUAGUGUAAUCGGUAACACAGCAGAUUUUGAUUCUGCUAUUCCAGGUUCAAGUCCUGGUCGGGUAA